AUACUUACCUGGCAGGGGAGAUGCCAUGUUGAUGAAGGUCGUUUCCUCAAAGCGAGGCUCACCCAUUGCACUCUGGGUGUGCUGACCUCUAUGAUUUCCCCAAAUGUGGGAAAUUCGACCUCAUAAUUUGUGGUAGUGGGGGACUGCGUUCGUGCUCUCCCCUG